AUAACCUGUGAAUCAGCCCAGGAUCGAGUAUGAGGAUUGAGACGGGCGAGAAAGGAGGAGAGGAGGCCCUGCCACUGGGAUGGUCCAGCGACUGAGAAGGAGGGCACAGUCCUGAGGAUCGUGAGUCUGUGGGGUGGGAAGAGAGUGGGGGUAGGGGCGAUCGGGCUCAGGCUACAUAGCCCGCUCCCCUCCCCCAGUGCAGCCACGUGGCUGGGAUCUGCCACAACAUCCUGGUCUGCUGCCCCAAGGAGCUGCUGGAACAGAGGGCCGUGCUCGAGCAGGUGCAGCUGGACAGUCCAUUGGGCCUAGAAAUUCACACCACCAGCAAUUGCCAGCACUUUGUGUCCCAAGUGGACACCCAGGUUCCCACUGACUCCCGACUGCAGAUCCAGCCUGGAGACGAGGUUGUCCAGAUCAACGAGCAGGUGGUGGUGGGAUGGCCCCGUAAGAACAUGGUGAGGGAACUGCUGCGGGAGCCAGCCGGACUCAGCUUAGUGCUGAAGAAGAUCCCGAUACCGGAGACCCCCCCACAGACGCCCCCUCAGGUCCUGGACUCCCCGCACCAGAGGAGCCCAUCACUGUCUCUGGCCCCACUGUCUCCCAGGUAACAGGCUCUGUCCAGGUGUGUCUUGGUGGGGAGACCGUGGGCUCAUCUCAU
rnacentral:sRNA from 1 species